rnacentral:rRNA from 1 species
UACGGGGGGUGCGAGCGUUGUCCGGAAUCACUGGGCGUAAAGGGCGCGUAGGUGGCGUCGUAAGUCUGUGGUGAAAGCCCGGAGCUCAACUCCGGGUCUGCCGCGGAUACUACGAGGCUUGAGUGCUGUAGAGGGGGGUAGAAUGCCGGGUGUAGCGGUGAAAUGCGUAGAGAUCGGGAGGAACACCAGUGGCGAAGGCGGCUACCUGGACCAGCACUGACACUGAGGCACGAAAGCGUGGGGAGCAAACAGGG